UUGGGCCAGGGCUACACACGUACUACAAUGGCCGGUACAAAGGGCAGCGACAUUGCGAGAUGGAGCGAAUCCCGAAAAGCCGGUCUCAGUCCGGAUUGGAGUCUGCAACUCGACUCCAUGAAGUUGGAAUCGCUAGUAAUCGUGGAUCAGCAUGCCACGGUCGAAUACGUUCCCGGGCCUU
rnacentral:rRNA from 1 species